rnacentral:rRNA from 1 species
UUCUGCCCUAUGCCCUACGGGGUAAAUGGCCGCGGUAGCCUGACCGUGCUAAGGUAGCAUAAUCAUUUGCCGUUUAAUUGAUGGCUGGAAUGAAUGAAUAUACGAGAGCUCAACUGUCUCAUUUUUACAAAUAUAAAUUGACCCUCAAGUGAAGAGACUUGAAUUAAGAAAAAAGACGAAAAGACCCUAUAGAGCUUUACCUGAAACUUAUAUUAUACACAGUAAAGGUUUAGUUGGGGCAACUAGAGAGCACCUAAAACCUCUCUUUAAACUUAUUAAUAUUGAUCCGUUUUUACGAUAAGUAGAAAAAGCUACCUUAGGGAUAACAGGCUAAUCCUCUUUAAGAGACCAUAUUGACAAGAGGGAUUGGCACCUCGAUGUUGGCUCAAGGUUACAGUUUGAUGCAGCAGUCAAACAAAGUAGGUUUGUUCACCCUUUAAACCCUUACGUGAUCUGANNUCAGACCGGA